CAAGUACUCCCUCCGUCCGGAAAUACUUGUCAGGGAAAUGGAUAAAAAUGGAUGUAUCUACAACUAAAAUACGUCUAGAUACAUCCAUUUCUCCGACAAGUAUUUUCGGACGGUGGGAGUACAUA
rfam:Triticum aestivum genome assembly, contig: Triticum_aestivum_CS42_TGACv1_scaffold_622300_7DS